UUGGCUUGAUCCUGCCAGUAUUCAUAUGCUUGUCUCAACGAUUAGGCCAUGCAUGUCUAAGUAUGAACUAAUUCAGACUCUGAAACUGCGAAUGGCUCAUUAAAUCAGUUAUAGUUUGUUUGAUGGCAUCUGCUACUCGGAUAACUGCAUUAAUUCUAGAGCUAAUACAUUUAACCAACCCCGACUUCUGGAAGGAAUGCAUUUAUUAAAUAAAAGGUAAACGCAGGCUCUGCCCAGUGCUUCGAUGAUUCAUGAUAACUCAACGGAUUGUACGACCAUCGUGCCGAUGACGCAUCAUUCAAAUUUGUACCCUAUCAACUUUUGAUGAUAGGAUAGUGGCUUACCAUGAUGGUGACAGGUGAUGAAGAAUUAGGGUUCAAUUCCGGAGAGGGAGCCUGAGAAACGGCUACGACAUAUAAGGAAGGCAGCAGGUGCAAAUUACCCACUCCUAACACGGGGAGGUAGUGACAAUAAAAAAAAAUACCGGGCUCUACACAGAUCUUUAAGGAUAGGGAUUUCAACCUCAAGCAAAGAUGGAUGGAGAUGAUUAAGGACUAUGAU
rnacentral:ncRNA from 1 species